CCUGGACUCAAGUGAUCCUCCCACCUCAGCCUCCCAAAAUCCUGGGUUUACAGAUAUGAGCCACUACGCCCAGCCUGACAGAGCAUGACUUCUGAGGGUAGGUCAUAAAAGACAUUGUGACUUCCGGUUUGUUCUUUGAACACUUGUCUAAAGGAAGUCAGCUGCCAUGUCUCAAUGACACUCAAGUGGCCCUAUGGAGGGGCCUAAAACAGCAUCCUCCCGCCAACAGCCAUCAAGGAACUGAGGAACUGAGGCCCUUUGCUAACAGCCAUGAGGGCACGAUCAUGGAAGUAGAUCUCCCGCCCCUGUCAAGCCUUCAGAUAACUGCAGCCCCAGCUGACUGCUCAACUGCAACCUCGUGAGAAACCCUCAGUUAGGACAACCCAGCUAAGCUAUUCUCAAAUUCCACAGAAACUGUGAAAUAAUACAUGCUUUUGUUUUAAGCAACUAAGCUUUGGUUAAUUUGUUACACAGUAAUAGACAAUGAAUACAGCUGGCUUAUCAGCCUCUCCUCUUUUUGCAGGCUGCAGGACUGCCGAGCUUCGAGGGAGCUGAGAGGAAUGCUGUAUUCAGGCCCUCUUACCCGACUUGACCUUGAGACCAAUGGGUGUGUUGGAAAGAGGCUGGCAAGGUCUGAGGGUACAGCCUGUGGCGGAGGUGGGGCCAGGCAGGCCCAGCCCCUCAAGCCAGGCCGUGGGCCCCAGGGCCCUGCCGGAUGGCCGCUCUCUGGGAGCUGCAUGCAGAGGUGCCUGGUACCCCCAACCGCGCCCCACGGGGCACCUGACCUCCAGAGGAAGGAAAUGAGUCUGGAGAUGCCGUAGACGAAAGAGUUGCCGCUUCCUCCGCCUGGGAUCACUCACAGAUGCCUCAGGGAGGCGGCCGGCCCUGAGUCACGCUGAGCGCUGAGCCGGCUGUGACUCAGCGGGACCGCGGUCCCUUGGCUGCGCCUGGGUCGAUUUGCGCCCCGCUUGUUUUCUGCAGAAGACAAGGCCGUCUCGGAUUAGACUGCCCCUCCUAAACAACCAGCAACUGUUUUUCUUCCUCAAAGUGCAGUUUCCCUCUGGCACAACCAAAAAUAAACACAAACCAGGCUCCUGCCCAAGGAGGAGGCGGGGAGGAAGACAGUCCCCGGGGCGCCCACCGAACGCAUGUGAGAGCUCGCAGGUCACCUGCUUGCAUGAAUCUGUGAAGCAAGCAGCCAUGAAGGCAGAGAAACCUCUCCCAUCGCAGGCUGCCAGCGCAGAGGCUCUGAUUGUUGAGUUGGCGCUCUGUUUAUUUCCCCAACUGCCUCCUCUCAGGUUCCGUCCUAACUGCUGGACUCACUGCCGCGUGGGCCUGAGCACAUUUCCUUGGCAAAUUGUCCUCAGUGGAAGUUUUUUCUUCUCGAUGUGGUGAGUCAGAGCUGGCUCACACACAAACACCAAGCAGCAGCCUCAGGGACUAAAGUGCUUUAAGGACACGAGGACCUAUCCUCCCUCCCCCUAUCUCAGUGGGGUGGGCCCACAGUUCCUGAAACCUGGCCCAGUGCAGUUCAUUUGACAGGCAGAGGCUGAAAAUGCAAAUCACCCCAGCAUAGGUGAGUGCACAGCAGAGACCACGCCCGGGCUGCAGCUUAUCCUGAAAUCCUGAAGGCAGGAAACACCGUGCCCACAGGAAGAGCUGGGAAGCCUGAACCAUGCUAAGAUGUCCCAGGGUGAACCGGAGCCACUGGUUAGUCACACUGACUUCACAUUUCCUUUGUGAGAAGGAACUGAAGACAGAUUCCAGACUUGCUGUGCAUAGAAUGUAUAGUUCAUUGCAUAAUUAUUAAAAAUCCGAAUAUAGUAGAAGUCAGAACGCAUUGCCCAUAAUAAGGCAUGUUACUCAUUAGGCCACUGGAAUGCAACAACAUAGACUUCUAUAUCCAACUGGCUAAAGAAAGCUGUACAACUGGGCAGAUUGGUGAAACUCCAGGUGAGAACACAGCAACAAGGCACCAUCUUGGAAGCAGACAGCAAC